rnacentral:rRNA from 1 species
UACGUAGGGGGCUAGCGUUGUCCGGAAUCAUUGGGCGUAAAGCGCGCGUAGGCGGCCCGGUAAGUCCGCUGUAAAAGUCCAGGGCUCAACCCUGGAACGCCGGUGGAUACUGUCGGGCUAGAGUCCGGAAGAGGCGAGUGGAAUUCCUGGUGUAGCGGUGGAAUGCGCAGAUAUCAGGAGGAACACCGGUGGCGAAGGCGGAUCUCUGGGCCUUACCUGACGCUGAGGCGCGAAAGCUAGGGGAGCGAACAGG